rnacentral:rRNA from 1 species
UACGGGGGGGGCAAGCGUUGUUCGGAAUUAUUGGGCGUAAAGAGCUCGUAGGCGGUGUGUCGCGUCGGCCGUGAAAACCUGCAGCUUAACUGUGGGCUUGCGGUCGAUACGGGCAUCACUGGAGUUCGGCAGGGGAGACUGGAAUUCCUGGUGUAGCGGUGAAAUGCGCAGAUAUCAGGAGGAACACCGGUGGCGAAGGCGGCAUCCUGGACCAAUUCUGACGCUGAGGAGCGAAAGCCAGGGGAGCAAACGGG